GACAAUUCCAUAAAGGAAAUCAGAGAGAAACUGCAGAUGGCACGCUUAGAAAUGAAGUCAGGGAAGAUGCCUCUGAGGCGGCCAUGGGAGAGCGGUUAUCCAACGGCUGAGAAGAAGCUGCUGUGAGAAGGACUGGAGAGGAGCACCUCAGGACUAAGGAGUAAGUGCCAAGGCCUGGAGGUGGCAAAGGCCCAAAGGGAUUUUCAUUUCCAAGAAAUCAAAACCCAGAGAGAGCCUUUGAUGGGUUUUAAAUUUGGAAGUGACAUGAUCUGAUUUUUUGUUUUUUCUCUUGCUAUGGAAAGGAAAUCUAUUGGAAUUUGGCAAGACUGGCAGAAGAAGACCAGUGAGGGUUCCAUUCCUGCCAUCCAGGUGAAAAAUGACGUCAUUGGACUGGGAGAGCGAGGCCGGCCGAGAGACAGAGAUUUCGAAUCUUCUGCCAAGGAGUCUCAGUCGCCAUUAAAAGGAAUAUUGGGAAAGAUAAGGACCCUGGAGACCAGAGAAGAACCUGCAAAGGCCGUGUUCACACACUCACAAAAGAUGGCUGUGACUUGGAUCCAGACGUGGUGUACUCACAACAGAACUCCUGUGAUUCCAUCCUUUGGGAGGCAGAAAUGAAGUAAAGAUGAAGUUCAGCUUAAAGAAGACAGGAAUACAAACCAUUCCACGUGGAUAAACAGAAAAUGGUGUAUCCACACAAUAGAAUUUGACUCAGCAAUACAAAGGAACCAAACUGUGAAAAGCAACGUCCAACAGGAAGGAAUCUCAAAAUGAUGGCGAGUGAAAAAGACCAGACUGAAAAAAAGAGACUGGAAAAUGUUAACUACCCAAUAGUGAAGAAAAGCAGGUGAUGGCCUAGGGAGGGUGGGAUGGGCACCCCGAAAAGAGGUAGGAAGGUCGGGAUGAUAAACAGGCUGGACACUUUGGAGGGUGAUGAAUAUAUUCACGACCUUGAUGAUGGAGAUACUUUCAGGCGUGUCGAAAUGCAUCAUAUUGGAUGCUUUAAACAUCCACAGUUUGUCGUAUGCUAAUUACAGUUCAAUGAAGCCAUAGAAAACACAUUUAAGUUUAAAUAUAUUUAGUAAAAUUCACAAAUCCUAUGAAGUAGACCAGUAUUAUUAUUCUACUAAUAACAGAUUGAAAAUUGUGUUCGGUAUACCUAUAAAACAGGUAAUUUUGAAAAAUAGACCCUUCAGCAUACCUAAUGUACACUCAAUAUGUCUUACCAAUUUCCGAAUAGAAAUUAGCCAUUAAAUAAUAACUUAGGUUCUAUUAAAACUUAAUUCAAUAGAAAAAAUCUAUUACCAAAUUCUAGCUUAUUAAAAACCAAUUUGGCCAUAAGAG
rnacentral:lncRNA from 13 species